UGAGGGACACAUCAGGCAACCUACCAAUCCAAUAUGCCAAGGAUGAAGUGGUCAAACAGAUGAUUUUGUCGAGAUUACCUUCUUCAGAGGAGAUCCAGUCUUAUCGAGAUGAACCAUCAACUCCUUCCAUCGUCUCUAUUGAAGUCGAAAUG